rnacentral:rRNA from 1 species
AGAGUUUGAUCCUGGCUCAGAGCGAACGCUGGCGGCGUGCUUAACACAUGCAAGUCGAACGUGAAAGGGAGCAAUCCUGAGUAAAGUGGCGUACGGGUGAGUAACGCGUAGGUAAUCUACCCCGGAGUCUGGAAUAACCUGCCGAAAGGCGGGCUAAUACUGGAUAGAGCGACGGAAUCCGUAAUUGGGUUUUCGGGAAA